rnacentral:lncRNA from 1 species
AAAAAACCCUCUUUGCCUCAUGUUAUUACCACUAAGAUUUCCCUGAGGAAUAAGUUUGUUUUAAUAAUUAGCUUAGAUGUUAGAAUGAAUAAUAGACUAUUAAUCUGGACAUUUUUGGGGUGGAAAUCUGAAUUGGUGCACUAGAAGUUCCAGCAAAGAGUAAUUGCAGAGCCCAAAAAAUUAAGAGAAAAAAGGGAAAGUCAGUGACACUGUAGAAUAAGCAUACUCCAUGGGCAUUUUCAUUCAAGGCAAGAUGUAAGUAUAAGCCACCUGGAGCCUUGGUUCAAAGUUACCUGAAAUUAUAGGAAGUACUCUGUGGGCUGGGAUGGAAGACAUGACAAGUGCAGCUCUAAAGGGCUCACUCAUGCUACCCUUCAUUUGAGGUACUGUGGAACAGCAUUUGGCAAGAGGCUGUAGAAUUUGGAGGCCUGAGGUGCAAGAUGCUGAAUGAAAGCCCAGGCUAGACAGCAGAGGCCACUGUCAAAAAAGGCGUGUGGGGCUGGCUGGGCUCUGGCUGUGACCCACUGCUGCAGCUCUCGUGACAUUCGCUACAGGGACGAGGCUAUCGCGCCCCUCACACCAGCCACGGAAGCUGACAAGAUGCAGAAAGGAGUGCAAACGGCGCCCUAAUUAAUAGUGAUGCAAGAGCAGCUCUGGGGCACUCUGCCUCCCCAAGACGUGACAACUCCCAGGACUGGCACAGGAGCGAUAGGGGCUCUACACCAUCCCCGGAGCGUAGCUUGUUGCUUGAUACCAUAGUUUAGUACUAAGUAUGCAAGUGCAUUUUCAGCAUAGCUGAUGGCAGAAAUUGCACUUCUAAGCUCUCUGGUGUAUUUAUAUGCUUAAAGGAUUAUGAAUUACAGCAAACCAGUACCAUUUGCAAUGUUUUGCUUUCUAUUCUACAGAUUCAAUUACUUGAGGGCAUAUUUGAUUGUAUAUUUAGUUAGAAUAGGGGUUUGCUCUGGUUAUUUUACAUUUUCAUUACAGUAAGUUAAUGCAGAGGCAGACCUCAAUCUAGAGAGUCAUGCUAAACUUCAGCAGUGUUACUUGACUGAGUAAAGUUAAGUAUAUGGGUAGGUAAAGAGGUAAAGAUUAAGAACAAACCUCAAUAAACAGGCAUCUCUAA